AAGUCGUAACAAGGUUUCCGUAGGUGAACCUGCGGAAGGAUCAUUAAUGAGAUCAUGCCCUUCGGGGUAGACCUCCCACCCCCCUGUUCAUCCGCUACCGUUGCCUUUGGCUGGUCCCGGUCCGCAAGAACGGGCCGCCAGGACGGCAGCCCUUUUAAAACCCCGUAUUAUCAUUGUCGUCUGAGUACUAUACAAUAGUUAAAA
rnacentral:misc_RNA from 1 species